AUCUGUUCUAAUCUAUUCUUCUACCGUGACCCUCCCAAAACCAUCUACAUUCGAAUCCAUGUAUCUACUCGAUUGUAGACGGAUCAAUUAUCAAGCAACGAUCAGAGCAUUCGUUCUCAAGGAAAGCAUUUGUUCUCCAGGUCUUCACUCCAAUAGCACCACUAAGCCAUCAGACCAAAGGGCUUUGGAUAUAUCUAUGUGAAUGGAACGGGAAACCCUUGAACAG